rnacentral:tRNA from 1 species
GGGUAUAGUUCAGUUGGUAGAACGUCGGUCUCCAAAACCGGAUGUCGUGGGUUCAAGUCCUACUGCCC